UGUUGAAUAAUAUUUUGCUAUGUAAAAUUUUAACAUCGACAGGUAAUACUGUCGUGUAAUGCAAACGUAUUGCGGAAGAACAAUAAUACUGUAUUCUAUACGUUUAAACUCCUACAGUGAAACGCAACAAUUUUGAACCUUGUAACAACUAUAUUGUGUUAUAUGAAACGCAACUUCUAUAAAUUAACUCAAAAAUAUUACUAUAUAUAUAACUCUCUAUCUUUUAAAGUCAAGAGCAACAAUUCUAUUUUACAUAGCUCUUAAAAUUUUACAAUUAAACUCAACAAAGCUGUAUUGUGUAUCUUUAAUGUAGAGUAAAAAGUCGAGGAAGUAAAUAACUUUCAAUGGAUACUGGAUGUUUAUCUUUAACUUAAACUGACGCAUUCAGUUUAAUACCUCAACACUGAUAGAUAACAGCACUGGCUUAUAUUACUUUAACUUUUUGAUAAAAUAUGAAAUUUCUCUAUUAGCUGUUAGUCACUGAUACAAAAGAACAAACAAAAAACAAAGUAUUUCCUGAAUUGUAAUGUCACUUCUCUCUUCAAACAACUUUGAAGAGUUUGUUUAAUGAGGGCAACAACUCAGAUAGUGGCAUUGAUAGAUGCAUACAUCAGUCCUGGCUAGUCAAGAUAAGUUGUUGAUUGACUUGGCCUAUCCUCUACUAGAGAUAGAUCUUGUUGAAGUUGAAAAGUACCUGAAACCUGUUCAACUUGUUUACCAAGGGCGCUGACAUUGCUAUGGAUUUAUAUAUUCUUUAUUUAUUAGUCAUGUUUUUUUUUGUUUUGUUUUUACUGGACUGAGAUGGUGAUGGUAGUGGACACUUUUUGGCUUUGAAAGUUGUUGCUGUGCAAAGGUCAACAAGUAGUCAUUAUUUUCGGCCUUCUAAAGUGGCAAGUACGCUCUCCAGGUGACGUUUUAAAGCACUUUUUGAAGAAGUUCCAGGAUUAAUACUCCCCAAACGUUAAAGUGAGUUAGACACUCAGGCCGAUUGACCACGAACAUCAGCUCUGCUUCAUUGGCUUUAUUUACUCCAGUGUUCAUAAACUAUCCACCGACAAAAAAUAUCUGAACAAUCCGAAUUCACCGGCAGGAGUUAGAUCUUAAUUCUAACAAUAAAACCUCUCAUCUGACCAUCAUUGAAAUAUUCUUGUAUUUUUUGACGAACUCUUUGUUCUGGUAGGAACUUCCGUUUUUCUUCCAAAUGCUGUCUGUGAAGAUUAAGAAGUGCAAACCUUUUGUUUUUCUUAUUGAAGUUAUUUUAUUGGAGAUGUUAAUAUCACAUUGUGUUGAUUAUACGUGUAUUUGAAACAUAGUCACGUUUUAUUACAAACAGUUAUCAUGCUC